rnacentral:rRNA from 1 species
GUAACGAGCGCAACCCUUGUCCUUAGUUACCAGCACGUUAUGGUGGGCACUCUAAGGAGACUGACCGGUGGACAAACCGGAGGAAGGUGGGGAUGACGUCAAGUCAUCAUGGCCCUUACGGCCUGGGCUACACACGUGCUACAAUGGUCGGUACAAAGGGUUGCCAAGCCGCGAGGUGGAGCUAAUCCCAUAAAACCGAUCGUAGUCCGGAUCGCAGUCUGCAACUCGACUGCGUGAAGUCGGAAUCGCUAGUAAUCGUGAAUCAGAAUGUCACGGUGAAUACGUUCCCGGGCCUU